AUUGAACGCUGGCGGCAUGCCUUACACAUGCAAGUCGAACGGUAACGGGUCCUUCGGGAUGCCGACGAGUGGCGAACGGGUGAGUAAUAUAUCGGAACGUGCCCAGUAGUGGGGGAUAACUGCUCGAAAGAGCAGCUAAUACCGCAUACGACCCGAGGGUGAAAGGGGGGGAUCGCAAGACCUCUCGCUAUUGGAGCGGCGGAUAUCAGAUUAGCUAGUUGGUGGGGUAAAGGCCUACCAAGGCAACGAUCUGUAGUUGGUCUGAGAGGACGACCAGCCACACUGGGACUGAGACACGGCCCAGACUCCUACGGGAGGCAGCAGUGGGGAAUUUUGGACAAUGGGCGCAAGCCUGAUCCAGCAAUGCCGCGUGCAGGAAGAAGGCCUUCGGGUUGUAAACUGCUUUUGUCAGGGAAGAAAUCUUCUGGGCUAAUACCCCGGGAGGAUGACGGUACCUGAAGAAUAAGCACCGGCUAACUACGUGCCAGCAGCCGCGGUAA
rnacentral:rRNA from 1 species